rnacentral:rRNA from 1 species
GUGGGGAAUAUUGGACAAUGGGCGAAAGCCUGAUCCAGCCAUGCCGCGUGUGUGAAGAAGGUCUUCGGAUUGUAAAGCACUUUAAGUUGGGAGGAAGGGCAGUAAGUUAAUACCUUGCUGUUUUGACGUUACCGACAGAAUAAGCACCGGCUAACUUCGUGCCAGCAGCCGCGGUAAUACGAAGGGUGCAAGCGUUAAUCGGAAUUACUGGGCGUAAAGCGCGCGUAGGUGGUUUUGUAAGUUGGAGGUGAAAUCCCCGGGCUCAACCUGGGAACUGCCUCCAAAACUGCCUGACUAGAGUACGGUAGAGGGUAGUGAAAUUUCCUGUGUAGCGGUGAAAUGCGUAGAUAUAGGAAGGAACACCAGUGGCGAAGGCGACUACCUGGACUGAUACUGACACUGAGGUGCGAAAGCGUGGGGAGCAAACAGGAUUAGAAACCCGGGUAGUCC